CUCAAACGACGGGAACCAGCGUAGAUUUUUAAACCAAUUUCUAAAUACGCCAUUUUGGAAUUCAUCAGAAUUAUGACUGCAAACACACGCAUUUACAGGGUUUUUUGGAUUCAAAAUAGUACGUAUACAGAAAAUAUUGUAUGCAAGCAGUUAAACUGGGAGCAAGUUUAUGCUUAACAGAACAUGCAUAAGCCUAUAGUUUUGAAUCCAAGAUUUACCCUGUCAGAUGGAUUUAAUGUUUGACCUCAACGGUAGACUGUUUAAUUUCACUUCUGUGCAGAGAGAAUUAAUAUACAUUUCAAUAACAGGCUGUGAAGAGAAGUCUACAAAAUUACAAUGUCCAGUCAGGGAAAUCUAAGCAAUGUUAUAUUGAUGAUCACAGAUUAAUAAUUUGUACAAAGGAAGAUUAUAGGUCUAGUAAAAGGGAUAUGUGUCAUUCACUGAACAUACAAAGUAUUAUAGAUUCAUAUUUCUUGAGGAAAGAUAAGAUUUUAAUAUUGGAUGUAGUUACAACUUGUUAUUUUAGAAAUUGUAAGAAUUCAGAAUUACCAUUUUUUUUGUGAAUUAUGAUAUAUAUGAGAGGCAUUGGCUCUUGAGAUCAUAAUAAACAUUUUCUUAUAAGCUGCUAAUUUUUUGGUAUUGAAUUUUAUGUAUAGUACUGCAUUGCAUCUUUUGGACAAAAAAAAAAUAUAAAUAUUUAAUCCUACAUGUCAUUGUUUAUUUAAAAACAUCAUUCUCCAUAAUAUGGUUUUCUUCAUGCAAUAAUCAUUUCUUAUCAUCAUCAUUAAGGCUAUUUUAUCAACUUUUCUGCCUCUCAUUAUGUACCAUUGACUAAUUUCAGUAAUCUGUUUAAAAUUAAAUCCUCAAUGUUUGAUGCUUAAUUUCAGGAACCAUUGAGGGAAAAUGUGUUUGAACUGUAUGAAAACAGUUAUUUAAUUUCAACAUAUAUUGUUGGGCCCAAUUCCUUUAGUUAUAAUUUCUCUUGUAAAAAAAAAUAUUUUAUAUUUAACUAAAAACUGUUGGCUAUAGUGAAAUUAUUUUUAUUCCAUG